rnacentral:rRNA from 1 species
UACGGAGGGUGCAAGCGUUAUCCGGAUUCACUGGGUUUAAAGGGUGCGUAGGCGGAUAGGUAAGUCCGUGGUGAAAUCCUGCAGCUUAACUGCAGAACUGCCAUGGAUACUAUCUAUCUUGAAUGUCGUGGAGGUUAGCGGAAUAUGUCAUGUAGCGGUGAAAUGCUUAGAUAUGACAUAGAACACCCAUUGCGAAGGCAGCUUAACUACGGAUAAUUGACGCUGAGUGACACGAAAGCGUGGGGAUCAAACAGG